GGCUCAGUGGUUCAAUGGUAAAGCGCUCGUCUCGGAGCCAUAGGGUUCUGAGUUCGAUCCUCAAUAGGGUUG
rnacentral:tRNA from 1 species